GUCCUGCGCAUCUCCUACGGCCUCCAGGACAGAGGAACCGGGGGAGGCAGGGGGAAAAGGCCGGCCCAGCAAUUCCCCUACCCCCCGGUCCCACGUGUACCCUCCUGGCCUGGGUCGCCCCAGCCCACGGGGAGCGGGCGGAGUCCUGGCCCACGAAGCCUUGUCACCUGGCGGGCGAAUCCGCAAGCGGAGACUUGUCUUUAAAGGGCUUUGGGCCGGGCGCGGUGGCUCAUGCCUGGAAUCCCAGCACUUUGGGAGGCCGAGGCGGUGGAUCACGAGGUCAGGAGUUCAAGACCAGCCUGGCCAAGAAGCUCAUACUGACUAAGGCAGCAGAACAUACAGGAGGAAGAGGAGCAGGUUUCACAGAGGGAAGACAUGAGUUCAAUUUUGGACUUCUCAGUAGUCGGUGUCCUCAGUGGUAGCAACUUCAAACGGAAGGUGUCAAAAGUCAAAUUCUGGAGAGUUGAGUAUGAAUGGGAGAUGAAGAAAAGGAGGCAGCACUUGUAGCCUGCUCUUAAUGUAUUUCUGCACUCUACACUAGCAGCCUAUUACACAGGACACUUGGAUGUCUCCUAGAUAUCACAAAUUCAGCUUCAAAAAUGAAUUCUUCUAGGUAUAUGGAAAGAUGUGAAGAAGAAAAUAUAGCAAUAAGUUAGGUGGUAGGUAUAUGGUUGUUUACUGUACAAUCUGUCAGUUUUUCUGUAUUUUUGAAAUUUUUCAUGAUAAAAUAUUAAGAAAAAA
rnacentral:lncRNA from 1 species